GGUCAAGUUAUUAAGGGCUUACGGUGGAUGCCUUGGGACCAAAAGCCGAUGAAGGGCGCGGCAAGGCUGCGUUAAGCCUCGAUGAGCCGUCUAGCGGGCAUAGUCGGGGAUACCCGAAUGGGGAAACCUUAUCCGGUGUUGAGUCGGAUAAUCCCGGUGUAAACCGGGAGGGUAAGCGGGGGAACUGAAACAUCUAAGUACCCCGAGGAAAAUAAAUCAACCGAGAUUCCCUCAGUAGUGGCGAACGAACGGGGAUCAGCCUAAACCAGUACGACUUAGUGGUAUAAGGACCUAUGUCGUACCGGUGUUGUAGGGACUGCCUAGAGCCACCUUAUUAGGCUCAAAUGAGUUACAAAUCUUAUUCCUAGUCGAAGGAUCCUGGGAAGGACCGUCAUAGAGGGUGAUAGCCCCGUAGGCGAAAGGGAUAGGACUCAUGGCGUGUUACCUGAGUACCACGGGGCACGGGAAACCUUGUGGGAAUCCGGGGGGACCACCCUCCAAGGCUAAAUACUUUUGGUCACCGAUAGCGUACCAGUACCGUGAGGGAAAGGUGAAAAGAACCCCUAGCGGGGAGUGAAAUAGAUCUGAAACCGUAAGCUUACAGAAGGUCGUAGUCCUGACUUUGUCGGGAUGGCGGCGUGCCUAUUGAAGAAUGAUCCGGGGACUUACUGUAUGGAGCGAGGUUAAGGAACUGUAGUUCCGGAGCCGCAGCGAAAGCGAGUCUGAAUAGGGCGCCAAGUUCCAUGUAGUAGACUCGAAACCGGGUGAGCUACCCAUGGCCAGGUUGAAGGUUCGAUAACACGGACUGGAGGACCGAACUCGUGGCUAGUACAAAAGCUUGGGAUGAGCUGUGGGUAGAGGUGAAAUGCCAAUCGAACUCGGAAAUAGCUAGUUCUCCUCGAAAUGCAUUUAGGUGCAGCCUCGAUCUAUAGGUGGACGGAGGUAGGGCACUGACUGGGCUAGGGGGCGUGAGCUUACCAAACCCAAUCAAACCACCAAUGCCGUUUAUCCGUUAAUCGGGAGUGAGACCGGCACAGAUAAGUGCGUCGGUCGAAAGGGAAACAGCCCAGACCACCGGCUAAGGCCCCCAAGAGCAGUCUAAGUGGCAAAGGAAGUUAGGUUCCACAAACAACCAGGAGGUUGGCUUAGAAGCAGCCACCCUUUAAAGAGUGCGUAAUAGCUCACUGGUCGAGGGAUCUGGCGCCGAAAAUGUAACGGGGCUUAAGUCUGCCGCCGAAGCCGUGGAUGUAUAGGUACAAGGUUGAAAUUCUUGGGACUUAAAGUGGAACCAAUGUUGGAUUUUAUCUUCGGAUAUCUGAAGACUGCGGAGAAACUGGCGGAAGCAAGACUGGACGCUUUGAGUAUUGCCUAUGCGUGGUAGAGGAGCGUUCCUCGUGCAGUGAAGGUUAGUUGCGAAUCUAGCUGGAGCGCGGGGAAGUGAGAAUCCCGGAAUGAGUAGCGUAAACUAGGGUUAAAAUCCCUGGCGCCGAAAGCCCAAGGUUUCCUACGCAAUGUUUAUCAGCGUAGGGUUAGUCGGUCCUAAGCCGUAGGCAAGCGCCGAAGGCGAUGGACAGCAGGUUAAUAUUCCUGCACUGCCGAAAUUUCGCUUAAAGCCAAGGAGGGAUGCAGGAGGGUAGGUAGAGCAUGCCCAUUGGACAUGGUGUGUUCUCUUUCGUAGGCGAGUCGGGGCAGGUAAAUCCACUCCGACGUUAAGCUGAGGAUUGAGGGAAUCGAAGCCUUCGGGCUUACGAAACUCUAUUGAACCCAUACUGACGAGAAAAGCUUCGUGGUUAUGGAAUUAGGCAACCGUACCGCAAACCGCCACUGGUGGGCUAGGAUAAAAGUCCUAAGGCGUUCGAGCGAACCUCCGUUAAGGAACUAGACAAAAGAGCCCUGUAACUUCGGGAGAAAGGGCCCCCCGGGGGGUGUAACCACUUGCUGGUGAAGCUUUCUGGGGGCGCAGAGAAGAAGGCCGGGCGACUGUUUAACAAAAACACAGGUCUGUGCUAAGGGGAAACCCUACGUAUACAGGCUGACGCCUGCCCAGUGCCGGAAGGUUAAGGGGAGGGGUGAGAGCCUCGAACUGAAGCCCCGGUGAACGGCGGCCGUAACUCUAACGGUCAACCGAGCGCCGACCAAACCCGGAAGAUUCGUCUUCGGGGUCCAAUCGGCGACUUAAGGCCGUUGUAAAAUCUGGCUAUAUGCUGGGAACUCCGAGUAUCCGGCGCUACCGGGUGGUUUAAUCUGAACCAUUAGGUGACAAUGCGUCCGGUGCGGACAAUCAGCAGGAAAGACCUUGGAGAAGAAAUUCUGGUUCGUCCAAGGACUAGUGUGGACCUCCUCGGAAUCCUCAGAGACUAUACGCCAGACCCCUGUCGGAACCAGUGGGAAGAUGUAGUCCGAUCUGUAUGGCGACAUGCAGAGGCCGGCAGAAAUGACCGGUCCACUCGGCAGCUCCAAAGGUUUCCUCUCCCCCUGGGAGAGGACUAAGGUGAGGGGCAACCCCCAUCCUAACCUUCCCCCAAAGGGAGAAGGGACUACCGGUGAAGCCGAGGAGUAACAAAAUGCCUAAGGUAGCGAAGUCCCUUGUCGGGUAAGUUCCGACCCGCAUGAAUGGUUGAACGACUUGGCCAUUGUCUCGACGGAGGGCUCGGUGAAAUUACGGUGCCCGUGAAGACGCGGGCGACCUGCGGCAGGACAAAAAGACCCCGUGGAGCUUUACUGUAACCUGGUAUUGGGCCGGGAACUGUCAUGUGUAGGAUAGGUGGGAGACUUUGAAGUCGCGACGCCAGUCGUGAUGGAGUCAUCGUUGAAAUACCACCCUUGGUUGUUUUUGGUUCUAACCUCAGCAAAACUGGGGGACAGUGCCUGGUGGGCAGUUUAACUGGGGCGGUUGCCUCCGAAAAUGUAACGGAGGCGUCCAAAGGUUCCCUCAGGACGGAUGGAAAUCGUCCUUAGAACGCAUUGGCAUAAGGGAGCUUGACUGCAAGACCUACAAGUCGAGCAGGGACGAAAGUCGGGCAAAGUGAUCCUACGGCACCGUGUGGAAGGGCCGUGGCUUAUCGGAUAAAAGCUACCCCGGGGAU
rnacentral:rRNA from 1 species